GCACAUUUUCUCUUGCACAAGUUAUUGGACAACUAUAUUCAGAAUAGAACUUAUGUUUUGUGGUUUGAUCUGAUCAUUGUUGCAUGAUUCCCUAGGUUAAUAUAAAUUCUACCUAGGCCAAUAAAAAGGAAACUUGUUGUACAAAGAGGUCAUCUUCUAGCCCCCUAACUGGCUUGUUGUAAUCUGUAUAUUUCUCCUCUUGAACAGGCCUGAUAUCAAAGUAUUGAUGGAACUGAGAGGAUUGUUAUAUUUAGUGAAUGACCAAAGGGGCUUGUUUGCUAGGUGGUGUGGGAUAAGACUUUAUAUGUUGGAUUAGGAUGUCUUUAAAAUAUAAGGUAUUAAUAUUAUGUUUGCUUGAAUGUAUAAUUUUUUUUGCAACAUAUGCUCAUUGCAUCCUUUCAAGUUAUUACUUGUUUUCAUUGUUGUUAAUGUAAACCAUUGUGACUCUGUUUGAUCUGAAUCCUCUGCUGAAGUCAGAGAGAGUUAAAGAAUUAGACAACUACGUGAGUUUACACUAAGAAUGACUUGUUGCUUUGAUCACUGUGCAGCAAUCCUGCUUCAAAUGAAGUUUGAAGAAUGUCGCUCAAUGGGGCAACUAUUCCAGAUAAAGUUAAUGUUAUCAUGACGUGCCCUCAGGGAUGGGAACUGUAUUCCAACUGAGAUCAGUCCAGACUCGUCUUAGGUGGGCAUUUGGCGUGUAUACGGGACAUUGAGCCAGAGGCCAAAGUCGAACAUUUGAGAAAUCGCUAGUGCGUAUGGUGAGAAAUUCAGUUUUCUGAGCUUUACUCCAUAAUUUUCUCCAUUGUAGUGUUGUGAUAGUGUAUUUGAACACGUGGUAGGUUAGGUAUAUAUCAAGAUGUAGCAGAAAAUUUGAAGGCAAAGACAAAAGCAUAACUUGUUGUGGAAUGUUUGGCGUUAAGUUGAAUGGAUUGUGGUAGUGGGUUAAAUUGCAUUGGAUCUCAGGCCGGAAUGCUACCUUCCAAACAUACAAUACUUCUCUGCAUAUGUUGACAAAGAAUAUGUCAAAACUAUCUGGCUAUAAUCCAUUUUAUUAAUUCCCAUUUGGAUUAGUGCACCUGUUUUCUUUGCUAAUUGAAGUAACUUUUUUUGGAUUAUUGUUAAUCAUGUUAUCAAUUACUUCCCAAAAGCGACAUCAACUCUCUUCUUUUCACGUAAUUAUCAAGUCAAGUAAAUUUGAG
rnacentral:lncRNA from 1 species